CAUAAUGACUCUCGGCAACGGAUAUCUCGGCUCUCGCAUCGAUGAAGAACGUAGCGAAAUGCGAUACUUGGUGUGAAUUGCAGAAUCCCGUGAACCAUCGAGUCUUUGAACGCAAGUUGCGCCCGAUGCCAUUAGGUUGAGGGCACGUCUGCCUGGGUGUCACA
rnacentral:rRNA from 18 species